rnacentral:rRNA from 1 species
CCUACGGGUGUCAGCAGUGGGGAAUAUUGCACAAUGGUGGAAACCCUGAUGCAGCAACGCCGCGUGAGUGAAGAAGUAUUUCUGUAUGUAAAGCUCUAUCUGCGGGGAAGAAGAUGACGGUACCUGAAUUAGAAGCCCCGGCUAACUACGUGCCAGCAGCCGCGGUAAGACGUCGGGGGCCGGCGUUAUCCGGAUUUACUGGGUGUAAAGGGAGCGUCGGCGGCAGUGCAAGUCUGGAGUGAAAGCCCGGGGCCCAACCCAGGAACUGCUCUGGAAACUGUGCGGCUAGAGUGCGGGAGGGGCAGGCGGAAUUCGUGGUGUAGCGGUGAAAUGCGUAGAUAUUAGGAGGAACACCAGUGGCGAAGGCGGCCUACUGGACAGUAACUGACGUUGAGGCUCGAAAGCGUGGGGAGCAAACAGGAUUAGAUACCCUAGUAGUC